AUUCUUUAAUUUAUUAUAGUAAAAAUGAUUAGAGCUUCAUACCAGAAGUGUUUUAUUACAAUUAUAUGUGUUUUACUUUUUGUAUAACGGUUAAACUAUAUUUUUAUUUUAUUAAUAAUUCCCGAAAUAAGAAGAUCUAGACUGCUCUAGUAUCUUAGUAUGUAAACCUAGUGUGGCAAUACUAGUGGAAGAGAGUAGUUUAGGGGUGAAAAGCUUACAAUUCUUAUGAUAUCUGGAUAAGAAGGAAAGGUAUUUAGUACCUUAGACAAAUAUAAGGUGCCUAGAUCUUAUAUUUUAAGUAUUAUUUAAAAUUUUAUUUUGUUUUAGAGUUAACCCUCUAAAGUGACACCAAGCUUUAAAAUUAAUUAAAUUUUAAUCUUUCAAUAACUUCUUUUUUCUAGCUAAUUUUUGUUAGAAUUUAUAAUGUUUAAAUUAGUAGUACAAUAUUUUUAAUAUAAAACCUAUAAUAAGGAACUCGGCAAAUAUUAGCCUCAUCUGUUUAACAAAAACAUAGUCUAAAGAUUUAUUUUCAUUUUAGAUUAAGCCUGCCCAGUGCUGAUAAUACAGUAAAUGGCCGCAGUACCCUGACUGUGCUAAGGUAGCGUAAUCAGUUGGCUUUUAAUUGAAGUCGUGUAUGAAUGGAUUUAUGGGGCUGAGCUGUCUCUUUAAGGUUUAGUUGAAUUUGAUCAAAGGGUGAAAAUACCCUUCUUUUGAUAAAGGACGAUAAGACCCUUGGAGUUUUUACUAAAAAGCUAAUUAAGUAGCUUAAUGUUUUUGCUGGGGCGGCAAAAAGGUAAAAUAAGCCCUCUUUAAUUAUUAGCCGAAAAUUUUAAGUGCAUAAAAACUACCCGAGGGAUAACAGCAUUAUUCUUUAUAGAGUUUGUGACCUCGA
rnacentral:rRNA from 1 species